CAGGGACAGAGUCACAUGGUCAUGCUUGGGUCAGUCUGUAAGAGUGAGAGUGACAUCCCGUAACACACACAUCUCCAGAAAUGUCACGGCUCUGUGUGUGUGUGUGUGUGUGUGUGUGUGUGUGUGUGUGUUGCGUGUGGCUAGUGAGACGAUCUGAUAUUGUACUCAAGGAAAUGAAAUCUGUUCCGAAUCCCGUGCCCAGAUUUAAAUGACUCGGUGAUGCGUGUCUGUGUGACUCAUGAGCGUUUAUUUGUUUACUUGUUUUUCUGUUUACUUGCUUAUUACUCGUACUGAUGACCUCUCGCUAUUCAUUAUUCAGUCAGUACUACGAAUGGCAUGUCUGAUGAUGUCAUAACAGGCUAUACAUGCUAUACAUCUAUCAUUUCUGUUUGUCAGUCUGUCUCUCUCUUUCCUCAGGUCCCUACAAACACAGUACCUACUUUCUUCAGUGUGUGUGGGUGUACGUGUGACUGAAAGACAGAGAAGGAGAUGGCAAGGAAAGUAUUACACACUUGCAUUGAGCAGCUUGAUGCUCCGGACACACACUCACUCUCUCUCUCUCUCUCUCACAGAGAACAAACCUUUAGCUUCUUUCAGCUUCUAGUUUUAUACUGACCUUCCUGUCCUCCUACUCUUAAGGCCCGUUCACACCAGGUCCUUUUAAUGCCCUAGUGACUGUCAAUGGGAGUGUUCACACCCACACGUAAAACACGUGGCGUCAAAGCGUCAAAAACUGUCCGACCAACGAGAUUCACGCUUUUGUGCACGUGCCCAGAGUCACUGAAGUUACAUAAAAAUAGGACUUGAUGGGGCUCAAGUACAAAGCCGUCUUGCAGAUGAAGAAGAAGCUGUAAAUAUAUAAAAUUGCAUGUAACUUUAAUGAAUGAAUAGCAGACAAGAACUUCAUGACUCAUUUAUGAUGUUGUGGCUAUUUUUUUGGAUUUAGCUUUAAAGAAGUAGGCUAUUUGUUGCAGUGGCCAAAUCAGCAAAGACCUUAAAUUUCUAUAGAACGUGUAGAACAUGUUAGACCAAAAAUAUUACAUAUCAGUUGCUGUAGUGAGUGCUGGUGCUUAUAGAGAUUAUGUAUUAAUCUCUGUUAGCCAGUUCACAAAAUGUCUGUGAAGCGGGUGUCAGAAACGGAAAGUUGUGCAGCGCCACCUGGAAGGUACAUGAGAUUAUUUACACCAGUUCAGAGGGAGAAAGUGGGAAUGCGAGAGACCCAUCAAGAGGUCCUCAUUCUCCACGCUUUUCACCCUUAAGAGUACCCAAGUCCCACCUGCCUCAAGUCACACACUACCUGAAUCCCAGCUUUGCCGUCUUUUAUAUAUAAAUGGUGCCCAGUCAUACCUACCCCUCUUUAACUGUUACAAUACCCCCGUGUCUCAUCUGCCCAGCUUUUUACUCAUACAGUAAAUGGUAUCAACUUGACCUGCCCCUUUCUACCAUAAAGACUAAUCGGAGUUUCGCUUGUCCAUGUUUUAACCAUUAAACAGUACCCCUGUCACACCUGUCGCUCUUUAUUUUAACCACUAAACACUACCCGAGUUUCACGUUCC
ensembl:lncRNA